GAUGAAGAACGUAGCGAAAUGCGAUACGUAAUGUGAAUUGCAGAAUUCAGUGAAUCAUCGAAUCUUUGAACGCAUAUUGCGCUCUCUGGUAUUCCGGAGAGCAUGCUUGUUUGAGUAUCAGUAAACACCUCAACUCCCUUUUCUUUUUUGAAAUGGGAGCUGGACUUGAGUGAUCCCAACACUUUUCUCACUGGAAAGUGGCGGGUCACUUGAAAUGCAGGUGCAGCUGGACUUUUCUCUGAGCUAUAAGCAUAUCUAUUUAGUCUGCCUAAAAAACAGAUUAUUACCUUUGCUGCAGCUAACAUAAAGGAGAUGAGUUCUUGUGCUGACUGAUGCAGGAUCCACAGAGACAGCUUUGCGGCUGACUUUGUAAACUCGAUCUCAAAUCAAGUAAGACUACCCGCUGAACUUAAGCAUAUCAAUAAGCGGAGGA
rnacentral:misc_RNA from 1 species